rnacentral:misc_RNA from 1 species
UGCCAGGUGAUAAGAUAAACACGUGUUAACGAAGGCAAGAGGCAGUAGCAGUAAUAGUGUGCUCGUGCCCUCAAUUGUCCACCAAUUGGAGCGAGGCGGUAGUGAUCUUCCACUUGCUGGUCUUCAAUGAAGUAGAGGCGGUAGUGAUCUUCCACUUGCUGGUCUUCAAUGAAGUAAAGGCGGUAGUGAUCUUCCACUUGCUGGUCUUCAAUGAAGUAGAGGCGGUAGUGAUCCUUCACCAGCUGGUCGUCGCCCCUGCAGGAUAGCAGGCGCUGAUCUUGCAGGUCGUCAGUCUUGCAGGAGACGAGUCAGCGAUCUUGCACUAGUUGGUUAUCACUCGUAGAGCAGACGAGGCGGUGACCCUGCAGCAGCAGCAGGUCGUCAUGGACCCUCUAUGUCGACAGAGCAGCGAGUACCUUCUCAUAAACAAUCGAGAGUUCCUCUCCAAGGUCAGAGAUGAUGAGGUUCCAAAAAUGCUCUUCCUCUCCGUCAACCCAAACAAGGUGGAGGAGGAAGCAGAGGGCGCCGUGGGGUCCAACUCCAUCUUCACCGACGGCGACACGCUGGGAGUCGGCUCCACCCACACCACGGGGGACUUCAAGUCCGAAGGCGGGUCGGAUUCCAUCGCCAGGUUGCUUCAGAAAUUUGAGAAAGCCCUGGAAGAAAGGUCCAUCAGUCCGGUGCGCCGUGAGCUGCAGCUGCGGCUACUGAAGCUGUCGAGCGUGGAGCUCUGCAGCACCAACAGCCUUUCUACGCUGGAAAGCAAUUUCUCCGAUGAGAGCGACCAGCUGAGCAACGAUGAAGAGGACAUUUUGGAGUUCACAGAAAUCUUCGAGAUGUUCAACUACUCAGCGCCAGAGUCCAUCAAAAGCAACUUCGGCAACAUCAUCGCCUCCAAGAAAAUCCCCGUCAGGGCAGAUUUUGGAAGCGUCAGCAAAAAGACGUUCUUCGUUUACGCUGAAAACAAAAUCAUGAUGAAAGUUUGCAACUGUCUCACUCCAGACGAUGUCUUCCAAAUGUACGAAGUGCUGAGGGUGUCGAAGGCUGUCGAGCGGGAUGACAUACAGGACCUCCUGUCGCAGCCUGUCGAUCUUAAGGCCCUGAAGAGCGUGGCGGGGCUGAAGGACGUAGCCUUCUAUUAUCUCAUACUGAACCUCAUGAGGAAGCAGAUGCUCAACAGGCUCUACACGCACAAACUCUCCUUCAUCUUCCAUCAGAUACAACAGAUGAAUGAGAGGACGAACACCCCCAAUCCUGACAUAGACCGCGUCCUCUCUAACCUCCAACGAUAUCCGGUAGCGUCUCGCCCUCCGGGUCUCUGUCUCAUAUUUAUCAUGCUAGAAAACCGCGUAGGGGCGCCAAAGGACCUCGCGAAGGUCAGGGAACUGUUUGAAAAGGACUUCAUGUACGACGUGUUCGUGAAGAAGGACCCGACGGCCGAGGACGUCAAGAUUAUUGUCAGUAAACUGAAGGCAGCCAGGAACAAGUUUUAUGACAGCCUGAUGGUGUGGUUCAUGGGCCACGGGGACAAGACUUACCUCAACGUGAAGGACGGUCAGAUCCACCGCCGCCUUGACCUCAUCGAACCCUUCACCGAGAUCGAGUGGUUCGUCAAGAAGCCCAAACUCUUCUUCAUCCAAGCCUGCGCUGUCAAGAGAGACCGGAAGAGGUUCUCAGUGUCAUCUGUUGGAGAUCCCAAGGCGUUGUCGACGCAGACGGACUCCGUCGGGUGGCGGGCGUCGGCGGGCGCACAGUGGCAGGAGAAGUACGCUGAGUACACCGACGUCUCCAAGGUCAACUCCUUCGCCGACACCCUCAUCUCCUACGCCACCAUGUGGUACCAGUACGCCUCCAGGAGCGACGAAGGGUCGCUGUACGUGGACACACUGGUGGACCAACUCAGGGAACACGGAACCAGAGAGAGCAUAGAAAACGUCUUACGCCGCGUCCACUACAACGUAAACACUGUGGGACUUAUGCAUAACGAACAAGGCCAAGACGUGUACUGGAAACAGGCACCUUACUUCGAGUCCUCCCUGCAGAAGGAGUUCAUCUUCCCCAACACCCAGAAGAUCUAGCUUCAAGGCUCGAUGGUUUCCACUUCCAGUUGUCGACGUCUUAUCAUGCAAGGCUGGGGAAGGCCAAGACGUGUACUGGAAACAGGCACCUUACUUCGAGUCCUCCCUGCAGAAGGAGUUCAUCUUCCCCAACACCCAAAAGAUCUAGCCUCAAGGCUCGAUGGUUUCCACUUCCAGUUGUCGACGUCUUAUCAUGCAAGGCUGGGGAUUGUGUAGGUUCGCGUUACACUCUUUCAGGUUACUGUAUUCUACCGGUUCUAUGUAUUCUGGUGUAAGGCAGACUUUAGAUUAAGAACAUGUUGAUGAAUUAUACUUAUCCAAGAAUAUAUUGUUUAGAGUAGUAGGCAAAAAUUAUGCUCAUUGUGGAAGCCUUUAUUAAAAACUUUGUUAUAAAAAAAUCAUAAAACUGCUUUGGCAUAUAUACGAACCUCAUACAACCCUUAAUUUAGGAAGAGUAUAUUAUUAUAAUUAUUAUAAUAACAUACUAAAUUAAAGGUUGUAUCUUUAUAUAGCAUUGUAAUAUAUAUAUAUAUGGAUGUGCAAUAAUCAAUCAUAGAGAUGUUAUCAGCUGACUCUACUGACGAAAUAAUGAGCACUACCAAGAGACAAAAACAAAAACAAAGCCGGACACACACACACACACACACACACACACACACACACACACACACACACACACACACACACACACACACACACACACACACACACACACACACACACAAACAAGAUUUCCAAUUGAGUAGUUGCUUAGAGCAUUUCAAAAGCACACUACAAGUGGCGCUGACAGACAGCCAGCCGAUUAGUGAUAAGAGAUUAGAUUAGCCUUCGAGGGCAGCGGUAAUAUGAUCAUUUAAUAGAACAAAAAAAAAUUGGGGAAAAAAAGAGCAGAGGUCUUUUUUUUUUUUUUUGUUCUAGAGGGAUCAGAGGCAAGAAGGAUUAUAUGUUGAUAGAGGACUUGGAGGAACGUCAAGAGUGUUCAUGUUUUGCUGUAGAUAAGUGGGUCAGGGUGGGUAAGAUACAAGUGAGUCAGGGUGGGUAAGACACAAGUGGGUCAGGGUGGGUAAGACACAAGUGGGUCAGGGGUGGGUAAGACACAAGUGGGUCAGGGUAGGUAAGACACAAGUGGGUCAGGGGUGGGUAAGACACAAGUGGGUCAGGGGUGGGUAAGACACAAGUGAGUCAGGGGUGGGUAAGACACAAGUGGGUCAGGGGUGGGUAAGACACAAGUGGGUCAGGGGUGGGUAAGACACAAGUGGGCCAGGGUAGGUAAGAUACAAGUGGGUCAGGGUAGGUAAGACACAAGUGGGUCAGGGGUGGGUAAGACACAAGUGAGUCAGGGGUGGGUAAGACACAAGUGGGUCAGGGUAGGUAAGACACAAGUGGGUCAGGGGUGGGUAAGACACAAGUGAGUCAGGGGUGGGUAAGACACAAGUGGGUCAGGGGUAGGUAAGACACAAGUGGAUCAGGGUGGGUUCCUCUUGAGGCACCUGGGUUCCUGGGUGAGGCACAAAAAGCAUUAUCUAUAUCACAUAGCCAUUUCUUAAGCCAUGUGACUGAUAUGAUAUACCUCUAGUGAUAAGAGUUACCAGCGGCUUCUUAAAGAUUAUUCAGACGGCCUGAUUUUCUUUAAACAAAAUAUACUUGGAAAUUAACUUUGUUUCCAUUAUGUAGUAUUAAGUUGUGUGUGUGUGUGUGUGUGUGUGUGUGUGUGUGUGUGUGUGUGUGUGUGUGUGUGUGUGUGUGUGUGUGUGUGUGUGUGUGUGUGUAUGUGUGUUUGUUUACAUAUAAAUGUGAUUUUAUUACCUAUAUCUUUAAAUAUAUGUUCCUUAAACAUAUUUGUAUAAUUACAAAAUGAAAUACUCUACCAAAUUGGACAAGUAAUUGUAUAUUUUGCAUAUUAUUAUACACUAUGUAUUGUAUAUCACUAUACCACAUGUUGUUUGUAAUGUAUUUUAUAUUAUUCUUUACUUAAGAAUAUUAUAUUCUUUGCAUAUAAAUAAUGCAUAUAUUAUAUUCUUAUAUUAUAUUCUGUUAUUGUCAAUGGUCCAGCAAAUCAACUCCAGUGAUUUCACUUAGGGAAAAAUAAUCACUGCAAGUAAACAUAUUCUCAUUAGCUAUGUCAACUGUAUUAAUAACAGUGGUACUUGUUAAUCAAGAGAAAACAAUGAAAUCUAUUAUUUAAAUU